AAUCAUCAAUCUAGCUUUGCUUUUGUGAAGUUGGAUUGGAUUUGGGGAUUGCUGGUGAAAGCUAGCUUCCCUUGAAUGCAUUAGUUGGACCGAGUUGCAACGCUACGUGUGGUGUGAUAAUAUCUUCACUGCAUAGUUGUAAUGAAGUUUGGCUUCUAACCGUCCUUCACUGGACAAUUAUUGACC
rnacentral:misc_RNA from 1 species